CCUACGGGAGGCUGCAGUGAGGAAUAUUGGUCAAUGGACGAGAGUCUGAACCAGCCAAGUAGCGUGAAGGAUGACUGCCCUAUGGGUUGUAAACUUCUUUUAUAUGGGAAUAAAACGUUCCACGUGUGGGAUUUUGUAUGUACCAUAUGAAUAAGGAUCGGCUAACUCCGUGCCAGCAGCCGCGGUAAUACGGAGGAUCCGAGCGUUAUCCGGAUUUAUUGGGUUUAAAGGGAGCGUAGGUGGAUUGUUAAGUCAGUUGUGAAAGUUUGCGGCUCAACCGUAAAAUUGCAGUUGAAACUGGCAGUCUUGAGUACAGUAGAGGUGGGCGGAAUUCGUGGUGUAGCGGUGAAAUGCUUAGAUAUCACGAAGAACUCCGAUUGCGAAGGCAGUUCACUGGACUGCAACUGACACUGAGGCUCGAAAGUGUGGGUAUCAAACAGGAUUAGAUACCCUAGUAGUA
rnacentral:rRNA from 1 species